AUUGAACGCUGGCGGCAGGCCUAACACAUGCAAGUCGGGCGGUAACACAGGGAGCUUGCUCCUGGGUGACGAGCGGCGGACGGGUGAGUAAUGUCUGGGAAACUGCCUGAUGGAGGGGGAUAACUACUGGAAACGGUAGCUAAUACCGCAUAACGUCACAAGACCAAAGAGGGGGACCUUCGGGCCUCUUGCCAUCAGAUGUGCCCAGAUGGGAUUAGCUAGUAGGUGGGGUAACGGCUCACCUAGGCGACGAUCCCUAGCUGGUCUGAGAGGAUGACCAGCCACACUGGAACUGAGACACGGUCCAGACUCCUACGGGAGGCAGCAGUGGGGAAUAUUGCACAAUGGGCGCAAGCCUGAUGCAGCCAUGCCGCGUGUAUGAAGAAGGCCUUCGGGUUGUAAAGUACUUUCAGCGGGGAGGAAGGUGUUGUGGUUAAUAACCACAGCAAUUGACGUUACCCGCAGAAGAAGCACCGGCUAACUCCGUGCCAGCAGCCGCCGUAACAC
rnacentral:rRNA from 1 species